UUCGGUUCUAGCGGCGGACGGGUGAGUAACGCGUGGGAACGUGCCCUUUGCUACGGAAUAGUCCCGGGAAACUGGGUUUAAUACCGUAUGUGCCCCUUGGCCUUGGCGGUCUUGGGGGAAAGAUUUAUCGGCAAAGGAUCGGCCCGCGUUGGAUUAGGUAGUUGGUGGGGUAAUGGCUCACCAAGCCGACGAUCCAUAGCUGGUUUGAGAGGAUGAUCAGCCACACUGGGACUGAGACACGGCCCAGACUCCUACGGGAGGCAGCAGUGGGGAAUCUUAGACAAUGGGGGCAACCCUGAUCUAGCCAUGCCGCGUGAGUGAUGAAGGCCUUAGGGUUGUAAAGCUCUUUCAGCUGGGAAGAUAAUGACGGUACCAGCAGAAGAAGCCCCGGCUAACUCCGUGCCAGCAGCCGCGGUAAUACGGAGGGGGCUAGCGUUGUUCGGAAUUACUGGGCGUAAAGCGCACGUAGGCGGACUGGAAAGUCAGAGGUGAAAUCCCAGGGCUCAACCUUGGAACUGCCUUUGAAACUAUCGGUCUGGAGUUCGAGAGAGGUGAGUGGAAUUCCGAGUGUAGAGGUGAAAUUCGUAGAUAUUCGGAGGAACACCAGUGGCGAAGGCGGCUCACUGGCUCGAUACUGACGCUGAGGUGCGAAA
rnacentral:rRNA from 1 species